CUGCUGCCUCCCGUAGGAGUCUGGGCCGUGUCUCAGUCCCAAUGUGGCCGUCCGCCCUCUCAGGCCGGCUACUGAUCGUCGCCUUGGUAGGCCGUUACCCUCCCAACCAGCUAAUCAGACGCGGGCCCAUCUUAUACCACCUCAGUUUUUCACACUGCGUCAUGCGCCGCUGUGCGCUUAUGCGGUAUUAGCAGCUGUUUCCAGCUGUUAUCCCCCUGUAUAAGGCAGGUUGCCCACGCGUUA
rnacentral:rRNA from 1 species